AAUGAAGUGAGACAUGGGCAGAUUAAACCAUCAUUCAGCCUUCAUGGGGCUUUGAAUUCAGCCUCAAACAUUGUGAUAAUCCGAUCCUGACACUUGCCCUCCCCUCAUUCACUCUUUUAACAAUCCCAAGAGAGUGCAGGACUGAGAUCCGAAAAUGUUAUUAUGGAGGGGAAAUAAAGGUUAUUUUGAAUGCUUCAAGGUCACGUGACUUGAAGAAGUCAGUUGCUAUGUACAAAGUCCUACUACUCUAAGACUGCCAUACCAUGAGAAGCCCAACCUAGCCAUGUGGAGAGGUCAUGUGAAGGAGAACUGAGUCUUCCAGCCAGCAACCCCAGCUGAGCUUCCAGCCAACAAACAGCACUAACUUGCAUGGGAGAAGCUGUCCAGGAAGUGAAUCCUUGAGCUCCAAUUGAGCUGCCUCAAGCUGGUGUCACGUGGAGCAGAGAUGAGCUGUCCCUGACAUACCUUGCACAAAUUUCAGAAACAUAAGUAAAUAAAAGAAAUAUUUGUAUUUUAAGUCAACA
rnacentral:lncRNA from 10 species